rnacentral:rRNA from 1 species
GACGAACGCUGGCGGCGUGCUUAACACAUGCAAGUCGAACGAAGUGGCGAACGGGUGGGUUACGCGUAAUCAACCUGCCCUUCAGCGGGGGCCCACAGCUGGAACCGACUGCUAAUACCGCAUACUGAAGGUGGGGAUUGCGUCUGCUUAGGUAGGUUGAGGGGUAACGGCCCACCAAGGGGAUGACCAGUAGCCGGUCCGAGGAGAGUAACGGGUACCUGGGGAAGGAGACAAGGCUCAGACUCCCAAGGGAGGGAGCAGGGGGGAAUCUUCCGCAAUGGACGAAAGUCUGACGGAGCAACGCCGCGGGAUGGAUGACGGCCUUCGGGUUGUAAAGCUCUGUUAAUCGGGACGCGGUACCGGAAUAGAAAGCAACGGCUAACUACGUGCCAGCAGCCGCGGUAAUUC